GAAGAUAUCCAAUGCAAAUACCAGAAAAGGGAAUCAGAUUAGCGAUGUUUCCAGAUGCCAACAAAAGAAAAAGAAGAAAUUCAAUGCAAAUACCACUCGGAUUAGCGAUACCAAAAAGUUCAAUCAGAAGAAAUCACUUCAUACUUGCCAAGAGAAGAGCGUUGCAGAGAUUUAUAUUGUUGCUCAUUCUCAGAUCAAAUGUGCUAUAAUCGGCGGCCUCCCAACCUUGUCAUCAAAUAAUGUAGCGUUUCAGUAUUGGAAGGAAUGCUUUGUGUUUAAUCUUCCUCUUGGAGAAGGAUUUGUGGGGUGGAUACUACUUUUAUGUUGUGGGCAAUGAAAGACUAUGGCGUCAAGAAAUCUUGGAUUCAGUUAUUUAAAAUUAACUUUAUCGGACUUGAUUCAACCAAAUCGAUUUAUAGGUUUCCGUAUGGUGAUGUACUAUUUGACGUCUACACUUUAGACGAAGGAGGGUAUUUUAGGUCAUUCAGGACAUCCAAAGGACCAAUUCAAUUAUGGUUUGAUUGGUUUCAUUCAUUUUAUGAAUAUAGUAACACCUUUCGUGUAAUUACUUUCACGGAGAGUUUAAUAUCUCCAAAAUCACUUCUUUAAUAUUUGAUUGAAACAU